UAAAAGAUAAGCUAUGUAAGCUAAUGGGCCCAUAACCCGUUUAUGAAGUCAUUCUCUUUUAA
rnacentral:tRNA from 1 species